GGAUAGCUCAGUGGUAGAGUGCUUGUCUAGCAUGCAUGAGGCCCUGGCUUCCAUCCCUAGCACCA
rnacentral:tRNA from 1 species